AGGCCAACACAGCAGUCGAGCGGUAACAGGACCAGCUUGCUGGUUGCUGACGAGCGGCGGACGGGUGCGUAACACGUAGGAUCUGCCCGGUAGUGGGGGUAGCCCGGAGAAAUCCGGAUAAUACCGCAUACGCCUUACGAGGGAAAGCAGGGGAUCGUUCUUUUCGGAGAGUGAACCUUGCGCUAUCGGAUGAGCCUUCGUCGGAUUAGCUUGUUGGUGAGGUAAAGGCUUACCAAGGCGACGAUCCGUAGCUGGUCUGAGAGGAUGAUCAGCCACACUGGGACUGAGACACGGCCCAGACUCCUACGGGAGGCAGCAGUGGGGAAUAUUGCACAAUGGGCGAAAGCCUGAUGCAGCCAUGCCGCGUGUGUGAAGAAGGCCUUAGGGUUGUAAAGCACUUUCAGCGAGGAGGAAAGGGCAGUUGCUAAUACCGACUGUCUGUGACGUUACUCGCAGAAGAGCACCGGCUAACUCCGUGCCAGCAGCCGCGUAAUAACGGAGGGUGCGAGCGUUAUUCGGAAUUACUGGGCGUAAAGCGUGCGUAGGCGGCUAAAUUAAGUGGGAUGUGGAAACCCCGGGCUCCACCCGGGAACUGGCUCCCAAACUGGGUAGCUAGAAUGCCGGAGAAGGAUUGGAAUUCCUGGGUAGCGGUGAAAUGCGUAAAAUUAGAAGGAACCCCAUGGCGAAGGCGAAAUUCGGGCCUAUACCGAACUGAGUACGAAAGCUUGGGAGCAAACGGUUAGUACCUGUAGUCCACCUGUAACAAUCAUAUUUGAAUCAGUUCUUGGACAACUACCUAUCACGCUGGAUACGCCAGUUAACUAAUGAUGGGAGGGCA
rnacentral:rRNA from 1 species